rnacentral:rRNA from 1 species
UACGUAGGUGACAAGCGUUGUCCGGAUUUACUGGGCGUAAAGAGCGCGCAGGCGGUCGUGCAAGUCGCGUGUGAAAGCCCCCGGCUUAACUGGGGAGGGUCACGCGAUACUGUUCGACUCGAAGGCAGGAGAGGGAAGUGGAAUUCCCGGUGUAGUGGUGAAAUGCGUAGAUAUCGGGAGGAACACCAGUGGCGAAGGCGAACUCCCUGGCCUGUUCUUGACGCUGAGGCGCGAAAGCUAGGGGAGCAAACGGGG